rnacentral:siRNA from 1 species
GGGUCCCGCCUCUGGAAGAUGUAG